AGCACUUCCUUCCUGCCCGGAGUGGCAGUUGGGUCUGGUGACUAGUACUUCCUUCCUGCCAGGGUGGAACUUGCUGCCUGGUGUUGGAGGAGGUAGGAGCUUGUUCAGCCCAGUCUGGUGUGGUGUGCUGCCUCUUCCUGGUUCAGCCAGAAGAUUCAGGCCCAGUCGCUUCUGAAGAUCAUCUGAAAUCUAAUCACUGACCCUCAUCGGUCAUGGACCCCAGUUUAAGGAUUUCUACAUACCCCAAAGAUCAGAGUGGUUAAGAGACCUCUACAGGGUAUCUGCUCCAUCUCUUCAAGCAGCAUCCUGUUGUUUUUGUUGGUCCUUCAUUUCUGAAAGAACAUCAGUGGCAUCAUGGGGUAAUAUCUUGACUUGAACAUGAACUGGAUUUAUCUGAGACAGAACUGCACAAAGUCAUCAGUCUCACUUUCCCUUCUAGAGUCAUCAAUGUCCAAUGGUAAUGGGGCGCCAUUGAUGCACAUUGUGUUGGGGAACAGCAUGAUCAAGCCUUUGCUUUCAGAAAAUCCCUGGGAGUUCAAAUCAGAUGAAUUGAAGUGGGGAAAAACAAGGCAGAGUGACCAAAAGGAGUCCAGAUGAGGAGCACUGACAGGCCCCCAGAGGUGUGAAGAUUUGCCCCAAAAGUCACACAAGCAGCAAGUGGCAGGAUUGGUAGAAGACCACUAUAGAAUUCCGAAAGACUGAUUAACUCAGACCUACAGCCUAACUUGGAGUGAAGAGCAUUGGGUUAAUGCCAGAACUAAAACACUCACCUUAGUAUUUCUCUCUUUGAAACCAGUUCUAGUUACAAGUAAAUGUCUCCUAAGCUCACUUUUCCAACCCUUAAACCUCUAGGGCCUACUGGUCACCCUUUACAAUGUGGCAACCCACUGGUUUUGAUUAUAAACACUUGCUUACACACACUCAUAUUACACACACAUAUAAUAUGUACAUGCACGCAUACAUAUAUCUAUGCAACCCUACAUAUGUAUUAAAAAACGGGGGAUUGAGGGAAAGGGGAAGAAACUAUUAUUUGGAGGAGAGUUUGAGUACUUGGGAUCUUGGAAUCUUAACGCUGGGCUAACUCUGUCUUUGUCACUUCGAGGUUCCUCAUGUGUCACUCAAACAGAAAAUCUCCAGUCCCAUUUCCAUUAGGUGUAAAUGUGUUUUCACACUUCUGCCUGGCGAGGUACUCUCUGUAUUGUUGAUGGUUAAUUACCUGACAAUGAAUCCCCUCUGCAGGGAGGGUGUGGGGGGUGUGUGUGGGUGGGGGGAGCUACAUUAGUGGGAAACCAGGAAAUUAUGCAGGUCACAGUUGUACACACUGAGCAAGGCUGCCUUGUGCCUGUGACUUGGGAGAUGUUUGCCCAGAGCCCACCCCUUCCUCCAUCCCCCUCAGCCACUCCCACCCCCUCACUUCUUGCAAGGCUUUUCUCCCUCUGUUCCCUCCUGCAGAUCACAGAGAGAACUACCAGCUAACCUUCUGGGGGGUUUUAGGAGAUUUCAUUGUACUUGGUAAUGUAUGAUUUACAAACACAAAUAAAAUAAAUAGGAUUCAGAGGGAAUAAAUUCUA
ensembl:lncRNA